AUAGCUACCUCAUAGCGCGCGUGCUGAUCGACCACAACAGAUCGACAGCUAUUUAUAGUUGCGAAGGCUAAACGCAGAUCUUUACCCCUUCAAAUUAGAGGGUUGUUCUGAAGUUUACGAAAAGAAGUAGUUCAAUACUUCUAUUUUUCUUAUUCACUAUGGUAUGACUGAUAAUCAACGCUGGAAGCUAUGUUGCCAACAAGAUCUCAAACUUGUUUUCUCGAAAGCCACCAAAAUCUAAGCUUGAAAACAAUGAGAUCCCAGACAGCGACCCAGCGCCAGCACCAGCCUAUCAGUGUCCUCUGAGCAAAAAAUCAAGCUAUGAACAACUUGACAAACCUGACAACCAUCAAGACCAAGGAAACAAUGAUGCUGUACAUCAACGUAAACAUAAUGGCAGUUACUUGCCUCUAGGAGAACAGUAAAUGCUGGUGCAAGAAUUAAAAUACUUCAUGGAGAAUGUUAUGGGACAUUAAUGUUUGGUACAAAGGAUACUAGAGAGAUAUUAUGAAGGCCUGUACUAAAAUCCACUAUUUUUAGGGGUGUGUACAGGUCAGAUGAAAGUAGUCUUCUUGUUUCCUUUAGCAAAUCUCAUUAAAUCCAAUAAACAGCAACUCAACAUGCACUAAAACUGUACUAUAUUAGUUUUAAGACCAAUGUAUUGAAUCAUUGUAAAAAAUCUAAUUAAGACAUUAUGCCAUCAAGCAAAACAUACACCUUUUGUAAAUUACAGUGUAAGUCAUAAUUAGUGGCAAGUAUAAUAUAAUUUGACAACAAACCUGCUUAAUUGUGCCUUACCUUAGUCUUUCAAUUAAGGUAAGGCACAAUUAAUAUUUUUGCAACUUUCUAUUGCAAAUGGAAUGAUUAAACAAUUACAAUGAUCA